GGUAUUGACAAACGUAAUGGUGGUCGAAGAAGACAUGAAAACGACAUUUUCAACCUAAGAUAUAAUAUUUCGACAAAUUUUACUUAAAACCGGUAAGUCUUGGACAACGGAUUCGAAUGUUUUGGGUCUGUAUAUUUUUUUAGAACCCCAUGUACAAAAAUAAUAAUUUUAAAAUUCAUUUUCUACCUGUAAAUACCUGUUUCAGGUAUUAAUCUACCUGUACAAAUAUUAACUGUAUUGAACAUUUACUGUGAAGAUAAUUUUACAGAUUUACUAAUGAAUGUCGUUUGUGUAUUGAUUUCAGGUUUCCACAGUGCCAAAAAUAGAGACCAUCAUAUAAGCCAUCCCCAUUAUGGUCAUAUACAUGCCGCGUAUCCAUAGAGGGGGACUACAAUACCAAAAAGUUUCGUUACCGUAGCAUGCUGGAUUUUCUAUGCAAAGAACAUAAAGGCCGAUAUGGUAUCCCCAGAAUUCCGAGUGUUAUGUUGUAUGGAUUAUUCGUGUUACUCCUGUGUACGACACAGGCAUGGGGAGGGUGCACAAGCCCCUGUCCCACUGGAUGUACUUGCAUUCAAAUCAGCGGUAAAUCAUGUACAAUCAACUGUUCAAAAGCUGGACUUUCUGGGGUGCCAGG
rnacentral:lncRNA from 1 species